AGGCUAAAUUUAUGUUCAUUUAAAAUCAGUCUGAAUUAAGCUCCUGAGUGCGAGACUGGUGUAGUUUCAAACUGACCAUCCUUAAAUACAUGGAUAUACUGUUGCGGCAAAGAAUGCUCCCCCUAA